UACGGGGGGGGCAAGCGUUGUUCGGAAUUACUGGGCGUAAAGGGCUCGUAGGCGGCCCUCUCAGUCGGAUGUGAAAUCCCCAGGCUUAACCUGGGAAUGGCAUCCGAUACUGGAGGGCUUGAAUUCGGGAGAGGGAUGCAGAAUUCCAGGUGUAGCGGUGAAAUGCGCAGAUAUCAGGAGGAACACCGAUGGCGAAGGCAGGUCUCUGGGCAUUAACUGACGCUGAGGAGCGAAAGCAUGGGGAGCGAACAGG
rnacentral:rRNA from 1 species